UUUGAAAUCUGGCCCUCGGGCCCGACUUGUAAUCUGCAGAUGAGUCUUUUGGCGAAGCGCCGUCCAAGUUCCCUGGAACGGGACGCCGGAGAGGGUGAGAGCCCCGUACCGACGUGCGUCUAGCCUUUGCAAAGCUCAUUCGAAGAGUCGAGUAGUUUGGAAAUGCUGCUCUAAUUGUGGGGUAAAUCUCCCAUAAGGCUAAAUACUGGCCAGAGACCGAUAGCGCACAAGUAGCGUGAGCGAAAGAUGAAAAGAGCCUUGGACAAGGGCGUCAAAAAGCAUGUGAAAUUGUUGUGAGGGAAGCGCUCGAUGCCAGACGUGGUGGCGGUUGGUUACCCGGCGUUCUCGCCGGCGCACUCUGCCGUCUCCAGGCCAGCAUCAGUUCGGCUCGGGGCUCAAUGCCGCAAGGAAUGUGGCUCUUCGGAGUGUUAUAGCCCUGCGGCGACGCCCUGCGCCGGACUGAGGAACGCGCAUCUGCCCGGAUGCUGGCGUAAUGGCUUCUAGCGACCCGUCUUGAAACACGGACCAAGGAGUUGACCUAGUAUGCGAGUGUUUGGGUGUAAAGCCCUCACGCGCAGUGAAAGCGAAGCAGGUGGGAGCCUCGGCGCACCAUCGACCGAUCCUGAAGUUUACGGAUGGAUUUGAGUAAGAGCAUGCUGGGUCUGACCCGAAAGAAGGUGAACUAUGCAUGAAUAGGGUGAAGCCAGAGGAAACUCUGGUGGAGGCUCGCAGCGGUUCUGACGUGCAAAUCGAUCGUCAAAUUUGUGCAUGGGGGCGAAAGACCAAUCGAACCUUCUAGUAGCUGGUUCCUGCCGAAGUUUCCCUCAGGAUAGCAGAGUUGAUCCUCAGUUUCAUGAGGUAAAGCGAAUGAUUAGAGACUCGGGGGCGCCAUAUAGCCUUCAUCUAUUCUCAAACUUUAAAUAUGUGAGAAGCCUCGUGUUACUUCGGUGAACGCAGGCCUUUGAAUGAAUCAACUCUAGUGGGCCAUUUUUGGUAAGCAGAACUGGCGAUGUGGGAUGAACCAUACGGGGACUUAAGGUGCCAGAGUGGACGCUCAUCAGACACCACAAAAGGUGUUAGCACAUCUUGACAGCAGGACGGUGGCCAUGGAAGUCGGAAUCCGCUAAGGACUGUGUAACAACUCACCUGCCGAAUGUGCUAGCCCUGAAAAUGGAUGGCGCUAAGCGUCCC
rnacentral:rRNA from 1 species